rnacentral:rRNA from 1 species
CACGUAGGAUCCAAACGUUAUCCGGAUUUACUGGGCGUAAAGCGCGUGCAGGCGGUUUGGUAAGUUGGAUGUGAAAGCUCCUGGCUCAACCGGGAGAUGUCGUUCAAAACUACCAGACUCGAGGACGGUAGAGGGAGGUGGAAUUCCGGGUGUAGUGGUGAAAUGCGUAGAUAUCCGGAGGAACACCAGUGGCGAAGGCGGCCUCCUGGGCCGUUCCUGACGCUCAGACGCGAAAGCUAGGGUAGCAAACGGGAUUAGAAACCCCCGUAGUCC